rnacentral:tRNA from 1 species
GCCUCGCUAGCUCAAUCGGUAGAGCGUGAGACUCUUAAUGUAAUCUCAAGGUUGCGGGUUCGACCCCCGCGUGGGGCU